rnacentral:rRNA from 2 species
UGAAGCGGCAACAGCUCAAAUUUGAAAUCUGGUCCCCAGGGCCCGAGUUGUAAUUUGUAGAGGAUGCUUUUGGCAAGGUGCCUUCCGAGUUCCCUGGAACGGGACGCCAUAGAGGGUGAGAGCCCCGUCUGGUCGGACACCGAGCCUCUGUAAAGCUCCUUCGACGAGUCGAGUAGUUUGGGAAUGCUGCUCAAAAUGGGAGGUAUAUGUCUUCUAAAGCUAAAUAUAGGCCAGAGACCGAUAGCGCACAAGUAGAGUGAUCGAAAGAUGAAAAGCACUUUGAAAAGAGGGUUAAAAAGUACGUGAAAUUGUUGAAAGGGAAGCGCCUAUGACCAGACUUGAGCCCGGUGAAUCAUCCAGCGUUCUCGCUGGUGCACUUUGCCGGGCACAGGCCAGCAUCAGUUUGGCGCGGGGGAUAAAGGCUUUGGGAAUGUGGCUCCCUCGGGAGUGUUAUAGCCCAUUGCGCAAUACCCUGCGCCGGACUGAGGUACGCGCAUUCGCAAGGAUGCUGGCGUAAUGGUCAUCAGCGACCCGUCUUGAAACACGGACCAAGGAGUCGUCUUCGUAUGCGAGUGUUCGGGUGUUAAACCCCUACGCGUAAUGAAAGUGAACGCAGGUGAGAGCUUCGGCGCAUCAUCGACCGAUCCUGAUGUUCUCGGAUGGAUUUGAGUAAGAGCAUACGGGGCCGGACCCGAAAGAAGGUGAACUAUGCCUGUAUAGGGUGAAGCCAGAGGAAACUCUGGUGGAGGCUCGCAGCGGUUCUGACGUGCGAAUCGAUCGUCAAAUAUGGGCAUGGGGGCGAAAGACUAAUCGAACCUUCUAGUAGCUGGUUUCCGCCGAAGUUUCCCUCAGGAUAGCAGUGUUGAACUCAGUUUUAUGAGGUAAAGCGAAUGAUUAGGGACUCGGGGGCGCUAUAUUGCCUUCAUCCAUUCUCAAACUUUAAAUAUGUAAGAAGCUCUUGUUGCUUAAUUGAACGUGAGCAUUCGAAUGUAUCAACACUAGUGGGCCAUUUUUGGUAAGCAGAACUGGCGAUGCGGGAUGAACCGAACGCGAGGUUAAGGUGCCGGAGUGGACGCUCAUCAGACACCACAAAAGGUGUUAGUACAUCUUGACAGCAGGACGGUGGCCAUGGAAGUCGGAAUCCGCUAAGGACUGUGUAACAACUCACCUGCCGAAUGUACUAGCCCUGAAAAUGGAUGGCGCUCAAGCGUCCCACCCAUACCUCGCCCUCAGGGUAGAAACGAAGCCCUGAGGAGUAGGCGGACGUGGAGGUCAGUGACGAAGCC